AGAGUUGAUCAUGGCUCAGGAUGAACGCUAGCGACAGGCUAACACAUGCAAGUCGAGGGCAGCAUAAAAGUAGCAAUACUUGGUGGCGACCGGCGCACGGGUGAGUAACGCGUAUGCAACCUACCUAUCAGAGGGGAAUAACCCGGCGAAAGUCGGACUAAUACCGCAUAAAACAGGGGCACCGCAUGGUGAUAUUUGUUAAAGAGAUUCGCUGAUAGAUGGGCAUGCGUUCCAUUAGGUAGUUGGUGAGGUAACGGCUCACCAAGCCGACGAUGGAUAGGGGAACUGAGAGGUUGGUCCCCCACACUGGUACUGAGACACGGACCAGACUCCUACGGGAGGCAGCAGUGAGGAAUAUUGGCCAAUGGGCGGGAGCCUGAACCAGCCAAGUCCGCGUGAAGGAAGAAGGAUCUAUGGUUCGUAAACUUCUUUUGCAGGGGAAUAAAGUGCAGGACGUGUCCUGUUUUGUAUGUACCCUGAGAAUAAGGAUCGGCUAACUCCGUGCCAGCCGCCGC
rnacentral:rRNA from 1 species